CUUCUGGCUCAGCUGCUGCUGUUGACACCCGAGUCUCCAUUACAAUGAGCAUUCCCAAAAGUCCUCGUAUUCUCUCUGUCUAGACGGCUGAAACAACCCACAGGUUAUCACCAAGAAAAGCUCAAGAGCGCAGUAAUUUAAACGGAGAGUAGAUGGAGUGAAUUCUUUGAUGCCUGAAUGGUUUCACAGCAACACAAGGCUAAGUAUUACAUCGUAAAGAUAAUUUGGGCACUGCGUGUUCUGGUUUGGUUUGCCCCACCCCCUGCUGGGCCCAGGGGACCAAAGUUAUGUUGUCCAGAUGGGAAAUAAUAGCCCACACCUGGGCUUCGGCCAGGACCCCAAACUAGACUCCUGCAUGGCCCCAAAGCCUGACUCAGCUAAACAUCCACAGAGACCGGUCCCAUCCAUGCUGUGGUCUGACCAGUGUCAGCCAACACACAAUUAACCAGACCAAACCAAAGCUCCUGAACACCAGCUAAUAUCAUUGAAAGGCUUCAGCUUAUUGCUUGAGACAGUUUGCAUUUGCGGCGUUUUUAUUCACCGUGGACUCAAUGAUGGAAAUGAUGAUUGUAAAAGAAAAGAACAGCAAGUCACACACAAAAUGUAAACUUUAUUUGUUGCAUGUCUAACACCUUUGACAGAUCUUUACACGGUGAUACCCACAGAACUCAGAAUGUCAGCAAAGGGCACUGGCAGAUGAAUAUAGAAUAUCUUAUUCGGCAGGAAUUCAUGAUUUAUUUAAAAACAAGUGAAAAACAUUAAACAAAAGCAAAACUGUCCAAACAGCCUUUAAACCUUUAUUAAGUGUCAGACGACAUUUAAUUUAACGGGUAACUUCUGUUUUCCUUUUCUUGUUAAACCUGAGUACCACCCCAUUAUAGCACGGGUGGGCGGAUCCCCAAACUAAUACUGAAGUUUAUAGAGGGACUUUUAUGCAGUUCAGGUGCUGAAGCCACUAUGCACAUGGCAUUGUUUGCACCUGCAUUCCAUCAGAUAAUUACAGCUGGCAUAUGUUCACCCAGCUCUCAGCAACAACGACAGACCGGCGGGGCAGAAGAGUAGGAGUACCACCUGAGCCCAUGGAGAUAAGCAGCAUUGAAAAGGAGGUAAUCAAGAAGACUCCUCCCUCUCUUUUAUACUACCCACACAGGAUAGUGGACCUGCCUGGUCUUGGGAGUAGGCUGAAGGCCCCAAACAGGAAGAAUCUUUUAACCCCGACCUCUUUACUACGGACACUUUUUGUUUCAUGCGUCCACGUCCACUGGGUCGCUGAAGUGUAAGUGACCAAUUUGGGACGAUACAUUUUUUGAAUUUGGUGCAGCAUUGAGAUGGAAAGUGUUCCCUCUCAGUAGUGUUGGGGCACUCACCAUGUGUUGGAAAUAAGGUCUUUUUAUGAAGAUUAAACCAAGACCGUAACCACACCUGCGGGGGAUUUUUAGUCCCAAACUCGGCACCGAUUUGUCAUUGGAAGAGGGCCACAGACCCAACGGGGGAUGCUCGCGUUAAGGCCUCGACGUCACUGUGACUUUAAACAACAAGCCCACCUCCAGCGCCUUCAGUCUGACUCAAGUUGGUGGAGGCAGGUGAAGAAACAACGUUAGUUUUAUGGAAAACCAUGGUUGACAAUCUUUAACUCUGCUGAACAAUGGACCAGAUAAGCAAAUGGAGUUUUUCGUGGGGGGAGGUAUUUUUAGAUUCUCUUCCCACACAAGUCAACGCGGCAAAGCUUGGCGCAGCAGCGCCAAGUUUAAAAGGAAAGUUGAAGAAACGCGUCGACCGCCACUUCUCUGUUUAGGCUUUUGUCAGGGCAGAGAUUGGUCAGAUUCUGUUAAUAACUUUUUAAGUUUACCAUUACAAAGGCUUAUUGUGCAGGACCGCUAAACUACAUAAUUGCUCCAUAGAUAUUACUAUGGUGUACCAUGCUGCUGUUCUAGUGUUGUUUUGAUCGAUCACUCACCGUGAGGGAAAUUGGUUAGCGAGAUUGACAGUUAUGUUUAUAUAUGAUAGAAGUUUCCUCAUAAUUUUAGAUAGUGAGUUCAUGUGUACCGUGAUAAUCGGUAGACACGUAGCCUCUGCUCAAAUGCCAACCUUCAUUGUUCACUCGUAAUGUGGAAUAGUACUUUGACCGUUGACGUCAACGUCAAUGUGGUUAUUUAUUCCCAGGAUGGUGCCUCAUUAUUACUAUAAUUUGUUAAUCUGAUGUUUUUUUUAUAAUUAAAUGAUCAAAGAAAAAGUACGUAUGUAUAUAUGUUUUCUGUACAUGUAUAGCUUAGUUACAAAGAAUAAUUCACUUUGCUGUGUGAUAUUGAUGACAGCAGUGUAGAUAAAUGUCCUACAAAACCUCCUGUCAUUUGUUUUGCAUGGGAACAAAGGGUUUCUAUUGUCAUGCCAUUAGGGAGUUUCCCCCAUUGGAAAAAACAACUGUCAUCCCCCAAUGGUGUGUAUGUACUAAGGUUUGUUGAUGGUUCUGUGCAAAUUCCGAUAAUGCCGUGAACUACGGCGGUGAACUCGUAUUACUGAGGUUCAAAGACCAAUUGAACACAGAUCCAAACCCGCCACCGCUGUUUUUACAUAGCUCCAUCGUUUGGCUCCGCCCCUGCAGACGAAACCCGGGCCCGCAGGUCGGACCGGGAGCAAAAAACACUCUAAUGCCUUGUGGCUUCUCGUUGGCACAUUUUUCACCAUUAAGGUUUUGGAGGGAAACUCUAGAGUGCAUUCCUGGUAAUUAAUAAGGCAAGAGCAGGUUUCCAUUUGGAGUAUUUGAACAUGUUAUAAUAAUAAAGCUUGAACAUUGGGG
ensembl:lncRNA